AGAGUUUGAUCAUGGCUCAGGAUGAACGCUAGCUACAGGCUUAACACAUGCAAGUCGAGGGGAAACGAUAGAGAAAGCUUGCUUUUUCUAGGCGUCGACCGGCGCACGGGUGAGUAACGCGUAUCCAACCUGCCCACCACUUGGGGAUAACCUUGCGAAAGUAAGACUAAUACCCAAUGACGUCUCUAGAAGACAUCUGAAAGGGAUUAAAGAUUUAUCGGUGAUGGAUGGGGAUGCGUCUGAUUAGCUUGUUGGCGGGGUAACGGCCCACCAAGGCAACGAUCAGUAGGGGUUCUGAGAGGAAGGUCCCCCACAUUGGAACUGAGACACGGUCCAAACUCCUACGGGAGGCAGCAGUGAGGAAUAUUGGUCAAUGGGCGAGAGCCUGAACCAGCCAAGUAGCGUGCAGGAUGACGGCCCUAUGGGUUGUAAACUGCUUUUAUAAGGGAAUAAAGUGAGUCUCGUGAGGCUUUUUGCAUGUACCUUAUGAAUAAGGACCGGCUAAUUCCGUGCCAGCAGCCGCGGUAAUACGGAAGGUCCGGGCGUUAUCCGGAUUUAUUGGGUUUAAAGGGAGCGUAGGCCGGAGAUUAAGCGUGUUGUGAAAUGUAGAUGCUCAACAUCUGCACCGCAGCGCGAACUGGUUUCCUUGAGUACGCACAAAGUGGGCGGAAUUCGUGGUGUAGCGGUGAAAUGCUUAGAUAUCACGAAGAACUCCGAUUGCGAAGGCAGCUCACUGGAGCGCAACUGACGCUGAAGCUCGAAAGUGCGGGUAUCGAACAGGAUUAGAUACCCUGGUAGUCCGCACGGUAAACGAUGGAUGCCCGCUGUUGGUCUGAAUAGGUCAGCGGCC
rnacentral:rRNA from 1 species